GAUGAACGCUAGCUACAGGCUUAACACAUGCAAGUCGCGGGGUAACAUCUGGUAGAGCUUGCUCUUCCAGGAUGACGACCGGCGCACGGGUGAGUAACGCGUAUCCAACCUGGCCCAUACCACGGGAUAGCCCGUCGAAAGGCGGAUUAAUACCGUAUGCUGUCAUUAAGAUGCAUAUAUUGAUGACGAAAGGACUGGCGGUAUGGGAUGGGGAUGCGUCUGAUUAGCUUGUUGGCGGGGUAACGGCCCACCAAGGCGACGAUCAGUAGGGGUUCUGAGAGGAAGGUCCCCCACAUUGGAACUGAGACACGGUCCAAACUCCUACGGGAGGCAGCAGUGAGGAAUAUUGGUCAAUGGGCGCAGGCCUGAACCAGCCAAGUCGCGUGAGGGAAGACGGUCCUACGGAUUUGGUAAAACCCUCUUUUUGUCGGGGAGUAACGUGCGGGACGCGUCCCGUAUUGAGAGUACCCGAAGAAAAGCAAUCGGCUAACUCCGUGCCAGCAGCCGCGGU
rnacentral:rRNA from 1 species